GGCGCUCCGCUCCGGGUGGGCAGUGAGUCACCACACACCGGAUGCAGCCAGGCCCUCCGCGCACCCUGAACUUUCGGCGCUCGGCCCCUCCCUGGUCCCGCGCGCGUUUCAGUACUCGGCGAUCAGGUACUCCUCCCCGCCGUCCUCCAGCACCUCAGCCGGCGCCCUCCUCCUGGCAGUGCCCGGGCCUGCCUGCCCUGGGUCCUCCAACUCGUCCUCGGGGACGAGGACCCGCAAGUCCAGCCCAGCGUUCCAAGAGCGCUCGCCUUUCCGGCGGUGAGCAGGUGCCCACCCCGCCCCCCUGCCUGGGCGUUUCCCACCCUCCUCCCCACCAAAGUGCUUGCCAGCCUGCAUUCCCUGGCCCACAGCAGUGCAACUGAAAGGGGACUCCUGGAAGUACUAGGACUUGAACAUAACCCUGAGUAAAAGGUUUUAGACACCGCCUCAUCAUGUGUGAGGGACUGAUGGAGAGGUAUGUGGCUGCCAUGGUGCUGAGCGCAGCUGGAGAUGCCUUAGGGUACUUCAAUGGGAAGUGGGAGUUUCUUCGGGAUGGAGAAAAGAUUCACCAGCAGCUGGCCCAGCUUGGUGGGUUGGACACCAUAGAUGUGGAGAGGUGGAGAGUCAGCGAUGACACAGUAAUGCACCUGGCCACGGCAGAAGCUCUUGUGGAAGCUGGGAAAAUCUUGGAUUUGGCUCACCUGUAUUCCCUACUUGCUAAGCAUUACCAAGACUGCAUGGGAGACAUGGAUGGCCGAGCACCUGGGGGUGCUUCAGUGCAGAAUGCCAUGCUACUGGAGCCAGACAAGGCCAAUGGCUGGAGGAUUCCCUUUAACAAGCACGAGGGCGGCUGCGGGGCUGCCAUGCGUGCUAUGUGCAUCGGUCUCAGGUUCCCCCACCAUGGACAGCUGGACACGCUGAUCCAGGUGAGCAUCGAGAGUGGCAGGAUGACCCAUCACCACCCUACAGGCUACCUGGGAGCUCUUGUUUCUGCUCUUUUUACAGCCUAUGCUGUGAACAACAAGCCUCCCAGGCAGUGGGGAAAAGAAAUGAUGGAGGUGCUACCAGAAGCUAAAAAGUACAUUAUCCAAUCAGGCUACUUUUUGGAGAAGAAUCUUCAACACUGGGGUCAGCUUCACUCCAGCUCUGAGACCUCCAGCUCAGCAAUGCCCCCCGGCCUAGGGGACAGAAGCUUCUGUUCGUGGGGACUCCUUUUGUGGCUCAGCAUUGGAAGUGCAGGAGAUGCACCUCCUAUCCCACAGACAAAGUGCACUGACUUCCAGAAUGCUAAUCUUCUCCAAGGCACCAAUCUCAAAGUCCAGUUUCUCCUCUUCACCCCUUUGGAUCCUAGCUGUGGUCAGCUAGUGCAGGAAAGUAGUGACAUCCAAAAGUCUGGGUUCAAUGCCUCUCUGGGAACUAAACUAAUCAUCCAUGGAUUCAGGGCUUUAGGUACAAAGCCUUCUUGGAUUGAUAAAUUCAUCGGUGCCCUUCUUCAAGCAGCAAAUGCUAAUGUGAUUGCUGUGGACUGGGUUUAUGGCUCUACGGGUAUCUACUUCUCAGCCGUGCAGAAUGUGGUUAAGCUGGGCCUAGAGAUCUCCCGUUUCCUCAAGAAACUACUGGUAUUGGGUGUGUCGAAGUCCUCAAUCCACAUCAUUGGUGUUAGCCUGGGAGCCCACGUUGGGGGCGUGGUGGGAUAUUUCUACGAAGGCCAGUUAGGACGGAUCACAGGCCUGGACCCCGCUGGACCAGAGUACACCAGAGCCAGCCUGGAGGAGCGCCUGGACCCUGGAGAUGCCCUCUUUGUGGAGGCCAUCCACACAGACACUGACAAUGCGGGUAUUCGGAUUCCUGUUGGACACGUGGACUACUUCGUCAAUGGAGGCCAAGACCAACCUGGCUGUCCCACCUUCAUUCAUGCAGGUUACAGUUACCUGAUCUGUGAUCACAUGAGGGCCGUGUACCUCUACAUCAGUGCCCUGGAGAAUUCCUGUCCAUUGAUGGCCUUUCCCUGUGCCAACUACAAGGCCUUUCUUGCUGGAAAAUGUCUGGAUUGUUUUAACCCCUUUCUGCUUUCCUGCCCAAGGAUUGGGCUGAUGGAACAAAGUGGUGUUAAGAUACAGCCGCUUCCCAAGGAAGUGAAAGUGUACCUCCGGACCACUUCCAUGGCUCCGUACUGUGAACUCCUGUUGCCAUGUGAUAUGGAGCCCAAAGUUCAGAUUGUGGUCAUGCAGACUUGGACUUGAAUGUCAGCUUCUCCACCUACCAGAUGUGUCAUCAGAAGCAAGUUACUUAACCUGGCUGAACUCUCCAUCCUUAUGUAGAAAAUGGGAACAACAACAGUAUCUACUUUAAAGAAUCAAUUGUGAGGGUAAAAUAAAAUAGUAUACAGGAAGUUGCUAGCACAGUGACUAGAGCUUGAUAAGUAAUAAUUCCCUUCCUUUUAUCAUUCAGAGAACUGGGGGAGACUAGAUGCGGGUGUUUAUCAUUCUAGAGAGAAUUCAUGGCUACCUCUUAGGAACAAGUGGAUUAUAAGAGUCGACUGUGGGCUUCUCACAUAUAUCUGCUCAUUUGACAACCCCACUCUAGUUAGCUGUGAGGACGGGGAGGUUCUGAGAGAUUAAGCCUUGUGCCCAAGGGUACACAGUGGUGUGGAAAAGGCAGAAUUCAACUCAGGUCUUCUGACUCCAAAAUCUAUAUUCUUUCCAUGUCACCACCUGCCUCCACACUGGCUUCUUUGCCUCUGCUUCUGAGAAUCUGCUCUUUACAACCAUAUUUCUUGGAUCCUCUUCUGUCCUCACCACCCCCUCCAGAGGUCAGCCUGGGGGAGGAUGCUUUGUCCAGUGGUGGAGGCAGCGAUGCCAGGACCAGAUGUCCAGUUUUACUUCCAGUUCUGGGACAGCUUCACAGCAACCUGAACUGGCUCCUUCCUGUCUGCGCAGCCGGGGACACACAUGGCAGGGAGCCUGGGGCACGCUUGAGGCUAGAGGCAUUUCAAAGUCCCUGCUGAGGCAGACUCACAUAGCUAUAAUUUUUCUGACUGUUUCGUAUUUGUUGUGAGACUCCCUCUCCAUGCCCCAGAAGCAUGGCCCUGUCUGUUCAAAAACCUCACAGAGCUACAGAAAGAAAUAAACCAGCCUGAGUACCUGCUUUUCUGCAUGCUCUGCGCCUUGCAAUUCUGAGCUUUUUGUUCUGAGCUCUGAAGCUAGGAGUCUCCUCUACCUGGAGGGAUAAGCCAUCCACUUGGUAGUUUGGGUAGUACCAACGGCCUGCAGUUCCCGCUGUCACCCACUCCCAGGCCCCACGCACUGGGUGCCCAUUGCCCCACUUGGCCUGCCUGGGUCUCAGCGGAGUUCAAUAGGACAGUGGUCGCCCUUGACCCCUGCCAGACAUGCACCAGCAGGGCAGAGAACCUUCUCCAAAUAGUUUUUCUAACAGUAUUACUUUUCCCUUUAUAGAACAGUGUUUCACACAAAGUGCUUUCUCUCCAUUACCUCAUUUAAUCCUUGCCAAUGUUCUGUGAGGUGACAUCGAGGGUUGUAGAUGAAGGAGCCAAGACACAGAGAGGUUCAGUGACUUAGGGAAAGGAAACAGCGAGUAAGCAGCGGGGCCAGGCCUUGGAUCCAGAUCUCCUGAUCAACCAUCCAGGGCUCUGUCUGCUGCCUCCCAUGUCUGACUCCUGCACCGGAGAUUGGAUUCCGCUACUGAUUCCCACCCAUCCAGUGUUAGUAGACCUGACCCUCUUGGGGCUUCCAGAUAAUAUAAAGAGAGAAGCAGAACUUUAGGAAACUUUCUUAAUGAGUGAGAUCUGCUGGCAAAGGAAGAAGUGGUAUAAUAUGUAAAAGUAAGCCCUGAGAAUUCAAUUCCUAAAGCUUACGUAAUUUAGCUUUUUUUCCAGAUUUCAGUUACCCACUACAAUUUAGCUCUUGCCCAUUAUCUUAACAGUCUGCAUCCUCUAGCAAACAACUGAGAAAGAGACAGAAGGGGCAUGGCAUUGGAUGUGUUCCUCUGUGGAGAGGAAGCAUACGGUGCUCUCUUUUCUUCCAUGUGGGUUCUUGGCAUCUUAGCACCUGUCAGUGAGUCUUGUUACCAACUCCAUUAGCCCAGAUGGAUCAUAGCUCUCCUCCAGCUUAGUGGUGAGUCUACCAAAAUCCAUUUGAUGUCCCCCCAAUAUUUGCCUUUAAAACAUGACAAAUGAAAAAGUACAAGUAGGGCAGAAGUGAAGAAUUGCCUGUCCAGCUAUGUCCCGAUCACCAAAGAAGUCUGUGGAAAUGCCCCAAGACUAAAGAUACUGCAAAAUGCCACCAGAUGGGUCUCCCCCUUAAUAAGGAAAGGAUAGGAGGUUAGGGAAGCUGUAAUUCUUAACUUCUCUUGCCAGAGAGACAGCAGGGGCAUCACCAUGAGCCAGGCUCCUCGUCUGGUUUAUGUCAGUGACGCAAGUUUGAGAGCCCCAGGAUCGAUGCUGCCUGGGAGGGUGGAGAUGCCAUACAGGCACCCAGCUGCCACAGAGAGGGAAAUAGUCAUCUCCUACACACAAGUGGGCUCCCUGACACUGUGCAUAUGGAGGGUUAUUUUAGGAGUUAAUUAUUUAGUAUAAGAAAGAUCUUUUCAGUUCUUUUAAAAUCACACCACCGAGAUAAUGUCAUCAAGCAGAGAGGAGUGGGACAUUCUAGCAUUAUAGGUAAUAAUAAAAACUAACAUGUAUUGAAUGCUUCCUAGGCACAGACACUGUCUAAGGACUUUUGUAUUAACUCAUUUAACUCUCAUUCAGACCCAUUUUUAUUAUCCCCAAUUUACAAUGAGGAAGCUAAGGAACUGGGAUGACAGAUAAUCUGCUGCUAGUCACACGGCUGUUAAGAGGUAGAUCUCAGAUCUCUGCACUGCUGCUCUCCGGGGCUUUUUGCAUGUUGCACCCACUGACCUCUGGCCCAGGCAUCUGCUCUGCUUUGGUUUCCCAGUGCAUCACAGCCUCGUGGAGUUUUACUUGCAGGAGCCAAGAAAGAAGGAUACCUGUAUCUCCAUCACCUUCCUUAGCAGCAAUGUUACUUCCUCGGUCGAGAUCACCAUACCUAGACAGCAACUCCAGGGGAGAGGAAUCAUAGCUCACA